rnacentral:rRNA from 1 species
UACGGAGGGAGCUAGCGUUAUUCGGAAUUACUGGGCGUAAAGCGCGCGCAGGCGGUCUUCCAAGUCAGUGGUGAAAGCCCGGAGCUCAACUCCGGAACUGCCAUUGAAACUGUGAGACUAGAGUACGAGAGAGGUGAGUGGAAUUCCCAGUGUAGAGGUGAAAUUCGUAGAUAUUGGGAAGAACACCGGUGGCGAAGGCGGCUCACUGGCUCGUUACUGACGCUCAGGCGCGACAGCGUGGGGAUCAAACAGG